UUCUGAGCCGGGCUCUUUGGUCUCCUUGUUCUUUCGCACCUCUUCCAACUUUUUGUCCUGAAAGAGACACGAGGAGGAGGAGGAGGAGGAGGAGGAGGAGAGAGAGGAGGAUUUCAGCAGCCUGCCCCCUGCUGUGUUAAUUGUUAAUGAAAGACACCAGCCACGUUUAGCUGAAACAAAAGGCUGUGAUCAGGGUGGGUACAUGCAGCAGCUCGGUGCAGACAGGCCCGGGCUAGACAGACCGA